AGUGACGGCAGUGAAGCAGUCGGAUCGGUUAGGCGGGACGGCGGGCGGAAGGUCGUGGCGCAUUUCAACUCUCAUCCUCGUCGUCCCGUACGAGUUUUUCACGCGAGUGAGUGUUUCACGAGAGCCGUGGAGUGUCGAAAAUGAAGUGAAAUGUCGGACGUUCGUGCCAAAACGUCCGUCGUCGUCGCGUCGAAUACGAUGCAUAGUGCUAAGUCGUCUCUCGUUCAAUCGUAUUUUGCAUCUUCUCCGUUGUCUCCGUUGUUUGCGUCUUCUCGGAAUACUGGAGUCAACCCUCGUAUUUCGAGUUUUCGAUGCGUGUAAGUACCAGGAAUACAACGAAGUACCGAAAACCAAAGGUCGUGACAAAUGUGAAUCAAGACAAAUCGUCGCGAGGAUCUUGAAUCUCGAAUGUUCGAAAACUGCGGCCGAGACGGAGUUAGACGAAGCGACUAGCGACGAGCGAUAACCUAUGUACUUGCAUUGAAUGAGCAAUUAUUGCAUUACGUUAGUGACGAUGUACCCGGUGGCUCCUAUAAGUAUUACAGCCUGACGUAUGACGGCAACAUUAAGAUACGGUUGACAUCCAUAACAGGGGAUGCAGAUUU